UACGUACGAGGCGAGCGUUAUCCGGAAUUACUGGGCGUAAAGCGCGCGCAGGUGGCCGUUUAAGUCCGAUGUGAAAUCUCCCGGCCCAACUGGGAGGGGCCAUUGGAGACUGGGCGGCUUGAGGGCAGCAGAGGUCGGUGGAAUUCCUGGUGUAGUGGUGAAAUGCGUAGAGAUCAGGAGGAACACCGGUGGCGAAGGCGGCCGACUGGGCUGCCACUGACGCUGAGGCGCGAAAGCUCGGGGAG
rnacentral:rRNA from 1 species